CCCAGGACUCCAGGCCCCCAGCCCCUCCUCCAUGGGGACCCCACCUCACUCCCGUGUUCUCUGUUCCUUAGGUCCCACGGGAUGUCGGACACCGAGGAGCAGGAAUAUGAGGAGGAGCAGCCCGAAGAGGAGGCUGCGGAGGAGGAGGAGGAAGGUGAGGCCUGGACUCCGCGGGUCUGCAGCCUUGGGGGCUGCCCCGCGGGGCCGGGUGGGGAGGGG